UGAGGAAUAUUGCGCAAUGGACGGAAGUCUGACGCAGCAAUGCCGCGUGCGGGAAGAAGGUGCUAUGCAUCGUAAACCGCUGUAGCGUGGGGCAAAAAGCACCCUCGGGGUGUGAGAUGGUACCACGAAAGUAAGCAUCGGCUAACUACGUGCCAGCAGCCGCGGUAAUACGUAGGAUGCAAGCGUUGUCCGGAUUUACUGGGUGUAAAGGGUGCGCAGGCGGGGCGGUAAGUCAGAGGUGAAAGCCCGGAGCUUAACUCCGGAAAUGCCUUUGAUACUGUCGCUCUUGAAUAUGAUAGAGGCUCAUGGAAUAUGUGGUGUAGCGGUGAAAUGCGUAGAUAUCACAUAGAACACCAGUGGCGAAGGCGGUGAGCUGGGUCAUUAUUGACGCUCAUGCACG
rnacentral:rRNA from 1 species